rnacentral:rRNA from 1 species
AUGUUAUCACGGGAGACACACGGCGGGUGCUAACGUCCGUCGUGAAGAGGGAAACAACCCAGACCGCCAGCUAAGGUCCCAAAGUCAUGGUUAAGUGGGAAACGAUGUGGGAAGGCCCAGACAGCCAGGAUGUUGGCUUAGAAGCAGCCAUCAUUUAAAGAAAGCGUAAUAGCUCACUGGUCGAGUCGGCCUGCGCGGAAGAUGUAACGGGGCUAAACCAUGCACCGAAGCUGCGGCAGCGACACUGUGUGUUGUUGGGUAGGGGAGCGUUCUGUAAGCCUGUGAAGGUGUGUCGUGAGGCAUGCUGGAGGUAUCAGAAGUGCGAAUGCUGACAUAAGUAACGAUAAAGCGGGUGAAAAGCCCGCUCGCCGGAAGACCAAGGGUUCCUGUCCAACGUUAAUCGGGGCAGGGUGAGUCGACCCCUAAGGCGAGGCCGAAAGGCGUAGUCGAUGGGAAACGGGUUAAUAUUCCCGUACUUGGUGUUACUGCGAAGGGGGGACGGAGAAGGCUAUGUUGGCCGGGCGACGGUUGUCCCGGUUUAAGCGUGUAGGUGUGUGUUCCAGGUAAAUCCGGUUCACUUUAACACUGAGGCGUGACGACGAGGCACUACGGUGCUGAAGCAACAAAUGCCCUGCUUCCAGGAAAAGCCUCUAAGCAUCAGGUAACAUCAAAUCGUACCCCAAACCGACACAGGUGGUCAGGUAGAGAAUACCAAGGCGCUUGAGAGAACUCGGGUGAAGGAACUAGGCAAAAUGGUGCCGUAACUUCGGGAGAAGGCACGCUGACACGUAGGUGAAGUGAUUUACUCAUGGAGCUGAAGUCAGUCGAAGAUACCAGCUGGCUGCAACUGUUUAUUAAAAACACAGCACUGUGCAAACACGAAAGUGGACGUAUACGGUGUGACGCCUGCCCGGUGCCGGAAGGUUAAUUGAUGGGGUCAGCGCAAGCGAAGCUCCUGAUCGAAGCCCCGGUAAACGGCGGCCGUAACUAUAACGGUCCUAAGGUAGCGAAAUUCCUUGUCGGGUAAGUUCCGACCUGCACGAAUGGCGUAAUGAUGGCCAGGCUGUCUCCACCCGAGACUCAGUGAAAUUGAACUCGCUGUGAAGAUGCAGUGUACCCGCGGCAAGACGGAAAGACCCCGUGAACCUUUACUAUAGCUUGACACUGAACAUUGAGCCUUGAUGUGUAGGAUAGGUGGGAGGCUUUGAAGUGUGGACGCCAGUCUGCAUGGAGCCGACCUUGAAAUACCACCCUUUAAUGUUUGAUGUUCUAACGUGGACCCGUUACCCGGGUUGCGGACAGUGUCUGGUGGGUAGUUUGACUGGGGCGGUCUCCUCC